GACGUAGGGCGCAAGCGUUAUCCGGAAUUAUUGGGCGUAAAGAGCUCGUAGGCGGUUUGUCGCGUCUGCCGUGAAAGUCCGGGGCUCAACUCCGGAUCUGCGGUGGGUACGGGCAGACUAGAGUGAUGUAGGGGAGACUGGAAUUCCUGGUGUAGCGGUGAAAUGCGCAGAUAUCAGGAGGAACACCGGUGGCGAAGGCGGGUCUCUGGGCCGAAACUGACGCUGAGGAGCAAAAGCGUGGGGAGCAAACAGG
rnacentral:rRNA from 1 species